rnacentral:rRNA from 1 species
GAUGAACGCUGGCGGCGUGCCUAAUACAUGCAAGUCGAGCGAACGGACGAGAAGCUUGCUUCUCUGAUGUUAGCGGCGGACGGGUGAGUAACACGUGGAUAACCUACCUAUAAGACUGGGAUAACUUCGGGAAACCGGAGCUAAUACCGGAUGAUAUUUUGAACCGCAUGGUUCAAAAGUGAAAGACGGUCUUGCUGUCACUUAUAGAUGGAUCCGCGCUGCAUUAGCUAGUUGGUAAGGUAACGGCUUACCAAGGCAACGAUGCAUAGCCGACCUGAGAGGGUGCUCGGCCACACUGGACCUGAGACACGGUCCAGACUCCUACGGGAGGCAGCAGUAGGGAAUCUUCCGCAAUGGGCGAAAGCCUGACGGAGCAACGCCGCGUGAGUGAUGAAGGUCUUCGGAUCGUAAAACUCUGUUAUUAGGGAAGAACAUAUGUGUAAGUAACUGUGCACAUCUUGACGGUACCUAAUCAGAAAGCCACGGCUAACUACGUGC